GUAGAAGCCUCAACGUCAAACCUUCACGUCCCCUUUUCCCCCUCUUUCGCGGAAUUCAGCUUUUUCCCAUCCCCUUCACUGUUGCUUCGAAAGAGCAAAAGAAAUUCAAAUCUUUGUUUGAAUUUUCCAAUGGAUUUCCCCCUAAAUGGCCCAACCUUCUCCUAUAAAUAAUCCUCUACAUUCAAGUUAUUAAAACAAGUUUGGAAGUUGGAUUUUGACAUGUUUUAGAAUUCGAUUAUUUGGCAAUAGUCGUUUUACGCUUAAAUUUUAUAUUCGUCUCUCUGGUUCAAAGUUCUGAGAAGGACGCCGCUCAGGUUUUCUUGGUUUACUGUUCGCAUUCGGAUUCGGUGGUGGAAAAAUCAUUGUCCUCCCUUGCUCGUUCAUCCCAGUCGCUGCUCCCAAAAAGGUAAACUUCUUUUAAUUUCUAAUUCGUUUUAGUUGGUUUUUUCUUUUCUAUUCGUGAAUGGUCUCUUUGUCGACUCUUUUCUUCCUUUCUCAAAUGCCCCCCUGUUCCUUCUUAGUCUACUGUUAAUGUCCAGUAAUUGUUCGUUUGGUUUUUAGUUGGCGUUCCUUUAGUUGUUGAAGAUAAAAAAUGUGUUUAUUUUGGUCCUGAUUUAAGCCUGAAAUUCGUUAGUUAAGUUUGGGUUUUCUUAUUGUUGGUUUGUUUUUAUUCUGAGGAAGAUGCAGAAUCUCCACUAGUUAGUGUGGAAGUUAUAUGUUGUGUUCUUUGUUGUCUGUAGCAGUACGUUUCUCCAUUUUGCAACUCCGCGGUUAUUUGUAUUAAAUUGUGUCUUCAUCUCGUCCAAUUUUUAGUCAAAAAAUGCUUUGUCAUUUACAGUUGAACUCUUAAAAAUAUGAUGUUCUAUAGUUUUUUUUUUCUUCCAGAUUUUAGGCUUGCCCCAACAUAUUGUUUCCUCUCCAGUUCAUUGCUUAGUUUUUUUUUUCUUUUCCUUUUUGUUUGUCCUCUUUUAGUCCCUCGU
rnacentral:lncRNA from 1 species